rnacentral:rRNA from 1 species
GCCGGUGCAUUGCCUCAGUACGGCGAGUGAGCGGCAAAAGCUCAAAUUUUAAAGCUGGCAUCUUCGGUGUCCGCGUUGUAAUUUUGUGAGGCAUCUCCGGGUAGGGCGCCGGCCUAAGUUCCUUGGAACAGGACGUCACAGAGGGUGAGAAUCCCGUGCUUGGCUGGCUGUCCCCGUCCAUGUGAGGUGUCUUCGACGAGUCGAGUUGUUUGGGAAUGCAGCUCAAAAUGGGUGGUAAAUUUCAUCUAAAGCUAAAUAUUGGUGGGAGACCGAUAGCGCACAAGUAGAGUGAUCGAAAGAUGAAAAGCACUUUGAAAAUAGAGUUAAAAAGUACGUGAAAUUGUUGAAAGGGAAGCGCUUGAGACCAGACUUCGGUAGGGGGUGAUCACCCGUCCUUCUGGGCGGUGCACUUGCCCCCCUCCGGGCCAGCAUCGGUUGAGGCGGCGGGAUAAAGGUCCCGGGAAUGUGGCUCCUUCGCGGGAGUGUUAUAGCCCGGGUGAAUGCCGCCAGUCUCGACCGAGGACCGCACCCGCAAGGGUUAGGAUGCUUGGCAUAAUGGUCUUCAGCGACCCGUCUUGAAACACCGGACCA